AUUUUAUUUUUUCUGUGGACAACAUUUCUACAAGUAAUUUUGCUUCGAUUUAUAAUGAUAGCAAUUUUUCUAAAAGGAAAUCUGACUGAGGUGAUAUUUUAGGGAGCUCAUUUUUUGAUUUUCCCAAUAAUUGAAAAAAAACCGGGAAAAAACUUAGGAAAAACAGGAAAAUAGGUACAAUAUUAAUCAAAUACUAUUAAAGAAAAUAUAGAAUGCAUAUGUAAUUAUUUUACCAUAAUAUGACGUAUAAUGUAUUGUUGAUAAAGCAGCACAAUCAACCGAAUUCCGCUGAGAAUCGCUUUUCAUUAACAAUGGUUAACCGUUACGUUCAGAUAUACAUUCAAUUUUCCCUCUACUUUCUUCCUAAGUUCUCACAUACACCAAUGGUACACCCACAUGUGAAGUAUGUCCAUCUUU